CCUACGGGCGGCAGCAGUGGGGAAUAUUUGGCAAUGGGCGCAAGCCUGACCCAGCAACGCCGCGUGAAGGAAGAAGGCUUUCGGGUUGUAAACUUCUUUUCUCAGGGACGAAGCAAGUGACGGUACCUGAGGAAUAAGCCACGCCUAACUACGUGCCAGCAGCAGCUGUAAUCCGUAGGUGGCAAGCGUUAGACGGAUUUACUGGUUGUAAAGGGCGAGUAGGCGGGACGGCAAGUCAGAUGUGAAAACCACGGGCUGAACCUGUGGCCUGCAUUUGAAACUGUAGUUCUUGAGUAAUGGAGAGGCAGACGGAAGUCCUGGUGUAGCGGUGAAAUGCGUAGAUAUUAGGAGGAACACCGGCGGCGAAGGCGGCCUGCUGGCCCGUAACUGACGUUGAGGCUCGAAAGCGUGGGGAGCAAACAGGAUUAGAUACCCGGGUAGUC
rnacentral:rRNA from 1 species